rnacentral:rRNA from 1 species
UACGUAGGGUGCGAGCGUUGUCCGGAAUUAUUGGGCGUAAAGAGCUCGUAGGCGGUUUGUCGCGUCGACUGUGAAAACCUACAGCUUAACUGUGGGCUUGCAGUCUAUACGGGCAGACUUGAGUUCGGUAGGGGAGACUGGAAUUCCUGGUGUAGCGGUGAAAUGCGCAGAUAUCAGGAGGAACACCGGUGGCGAAGGCGGGUCUCUGGGCCGAUACUGACGCUGAGGAGCGAAAGCGUGGGGAGCGAACAGG